AUGCAAACAGUAUGGCACUCUGAACAGACACUGAAAACAUCUCCAUCUCAAAGAUCCCAGGCCUUGUGUCACAGUAUGGGAAAUUAGAUGCUGGGGAAAACAGUGCUGAAUGAACGAAGGCUUCCAGCCAGCCAGUGAUCUCUUUGGACCCAUUACUUUGCAUUCCCAAUCAUAUUAGAUCACUUCCCAUCCAGAGGCUCCCCAAGACUUUGAACAGUUCUUCAGUGGCCCUUACAGAAAGACACUCUCUCCAGACAAAUGAGUAUUUAUAUUCAGUCCGCUGGAUCUCUAGGAAACACCAGAAUUAUCAAUGAAGAAUCUAUGAAAUGGCUCAAGGCCUAUUGGGAGGCAUAAUUCUACGGCUUGAGAGCAAACCUCCUAGAACUGGUUCCUGUUUCUGCAAUGAGGUGUUCCUUUAGAGCCAAUGAUAAUUCACAAACAAAGCCUACAAGUUCAUGCAGGGGACAUCUUGAAGUUCUUAAAAAAGAAGAAACCUGAAGACGCCUGUGUCAUGGGGAUAACAAUGAUUGAUCUUUACCCAAGAGACUCCUGAAAUUUUGUCUUUGGACAGGCCUCUUUGACAGAUGGUGUAGGGAUAUUCAGCUUUGCUAAGUAUGGCAGUGAUUUUUAUAGCUUGUGCUAUGAAGGCAAAGGGAGGAAGUGACAGAAAACAUCUUCAACUGACUAUUCAAUUUUUGAUAACUAUUACAUUCUGGAAAGAACUAAUGUUUCACUACAUUGAUCCUGUAAGAUUUUAACACAUGAGAUUGGACACACACGUGGACUGCGACACUGUCAGUGGCUUGCAUGCCUAACGCAGCUCCAACCACUUGGAAGAAGCUGACCGGCGCCCUCCUGCCCUAUCUGUUUACGCGAGUUGCAGAAUGCUGCAUUAUAGAAAGCUACAGAGCACUGGUGGAGUGGAUUGAUAAUGAAUCUGCUGACACACCUGGAGUAACUCCAAGACACAGGCCUGAGGAUAACGCAACUUUACUAAAACCUGUGGAAGCCUUUAAGGAAUGGAAGGAUGGAUAAUAAAAUGCCUUGCUGUUCUCCA
rnacentral:lncRNA from 1 species